UACGGGGGGGGCAAGCGUUGUUCGGAAUUACUGGGCGUAAAGGGUUUGUAGGUGGCUUGUUAAGUCAGACGUGAAAUCCCUCAGCUUAACUGGGGAACUGCGUCUGAGACUGGUGAGCUUGAGUGCAGGAGAGGAACGCGGAAUUCCAGGUGUAGCGGUGAAAUGCGUAGAUAUCUGGAGGAACACCGGUGGCGAAGACGGCGUUCUGGACUGCAACUGACACUGAAAAACGAAAGCCAGGGGAGCAAACGGG
rnacentral:rRNA from 1 species